GACGAACCGUGCGAACGUUGUUCGGAAUCACUGGGCAUAAAGGGCGCGUAGGCGGCUCUCCAAGUCGGGGGUGAAAUCCGGCAGCUUAACUGUCGAAGUGCCUUUGAUACUGGGGAGCUCGAGGGAGGUAGGGGUCUGUGGAACUUCCGGUGGAGCGGUGAAAUGCGUUGAUAUCGGAAGGAACGCCGGUGGCGAAAGCGACGGACUGGACCUCUUCUGACGCUGAGGCGCGAAAGCGUGGGGAGCGAACAGG
rnacentral:rRNA from 1 species